rnacentral:tRNA from 1 species
UCCUCUCGAUAGCUCAGUUGGUAGAGCGGAGGACUGUAGGUUGAUAAUUGUAGGCAUCCUUAGGUCGCUGGUUCAACUCUCGCCGAAGGAA